AUACGGGGGAUGCAAGCGUUAUUCGGAAUCAUUGGGCGUAAAGGGCACGCAGGCGGUUCUGUCAGUCAGAUGUGAAGGCCCGGGACUUAACCCCGGACGUGCAUUUGAAACAGCAGGACUUGAGUAUGGUAGAGGAAAGCGGAAUUCCUGGUGUAGAGGUGAAAUUCGUAGAUAUCAGGAGGAACACCGGUGGCGAAGGCGGCUUUCUGGACCAAAACUGACGCUGAGGUGCGAAGGCGUGGAUAGCGAACAGGAUUAGAAACCCCGGUAGUCC
rnacentral:rRNA from 1 species